GAUUAAAACAGGUUUUUGUAGCUGCCUUCCUGUUGUCUGUUACUAAAGCUCUCUGAGAUGUUCCUGAUUGCUUUCUCAGAGCAGUGUCAAAACAGCUGCUUGUCUAUCUUGGGAAACUGGAUUUUGCAAGAGCUGAGAAGACAAACCACUCCCUUUGGGAUGCCCAGGCACAUACCUCCCAUCUUGAAAAUCCAAACAGCCUCUACCAACUUGUGAAACGUGAGACUGCUGCUGCUCAUUCAAUGUUUGGAGCACUUAUCCUGGCUGCGGGAAGUCGUGAUCUGAGUGUCCUUCUAAGCCCCAUGGAGCACAGAUUUACACCUCUUUGUUUCUGGGAGAAGUGUGCAGGUGUCUGUGCUGAAAUGUCAGCCUUUGUGCCCUUCAGAGGACAGUUGCUUAGGUUGAGGGGGGUUUGAGAAUUGAGGGGGAGUAUUCAGUUGUCAUCACAGCAAAGGUUCUGGGUGUGUGUAGGACAGCUCCAGGUACCAAGAAAAAAGGUCUGUUUAAAAACUUUUACCCAUACUUUGACGUGAUCUGGUAUUCACCCCUUUAUUCACGACUUAAAGGCAAGCUAAGGAGCCACCUUUUAAUUCUCUACCUGGUACUGUAUCAAGUGCAAAUCAUUUAACCUCCCCAGGCCGGUGAUAUUGGCUGUUUUAUUGUGCUUGGCUUAAUUCCUGCUUGAUACCAACGUGAGAUGCAAUGCUGUCUGUGUCAAAACAGCACCGUAAAUCAUGCUGAGCUAAAAUGAGACCUGUCUUGUGGCUGCUGAUUGGCUUAAGAUGUGGUAGCACACAAAAUGACUUGGAAGUCCUAUAAAUUCACAACAAACACUGCAGGAUUGUAGAAAAACUUUUUAUUGCGACCAACGCUUAUAUGAAACAGUCCCGUGGGUAGAGCAGUGGGAUUUGGUCUCCUGUUAUGAGAAGCUGCGUGCUGUACGUCACUGGCUAUUGGCGAUCCUCAGAAAAGCAGGCACGAUGGUGAGCCAGCAUUAAAAAAGCUAACACUGAACAUGGCACAAGCUUCAGCAGGCAACUCUAGCCCCCCUCUCUGUGCAGUCCAUAAGGAAAAGAUCGCGUGAUCACAGAGCUUUUUAGCGGCACGGGGUAUUAUCGCUAGUGUCAUUUUUGAUUUAUGAAGCAUGAUGUAUUAACUUGAUUAAGUUUUGAUCGUGAAUUAUUUUCAUCUUUGAGGACUGAAGAUCUAAAGACCUGUUAAAUACAGAAGAGCAGACGGUGCCUCCUCCACGAGGACGGAAGGUGCAAACCACACAGGCAUGACUCACUUGUGAGGACUCCUGACCAAGGCGGCAAUCCAGCAGUUUUGUGGGCGUGUUUGCAACUUGUUUUGGCAUUUUUCACUGCAAUGCCUUUAUCAUCAUCUGCAGGUUCCUCGCCGUUGAUCCAGUUAGACAAGAAAAAAAGCAGGCCGAUGCCAAAGGGUAUUUCCUCAUGAGAAAACUGAGUGAAUCAGAGCGCAGAAGUAAGGCUGGGUAAGACCAUAAUAGUGAGACUGGGGCAAGAUGGCAGCAGAUGAGUGGUUGGAUGCUAACCCGUCAUAUCUUGAGGAUCUCUGGCUCUGUUAAUUUUGCUUACAGUUUAACCCAGACUUCUGAAAACGGAGAAAAGGCAGUAAAUGAGAGGCGAUGGAUGUGAGGGUGGCCCACUGCCUGCUCCUUUGGGCUGUGCACUUCUUCCCGGCUGCACCACGCAUUGCUCCCAGGGUCCUCAGCAAGGAAUCAAAGACUGGUAAUCUGCAAGAUGGGUGUAUAAAUCUGAUUCCCUGUGAAGAUAGUGGAGCUAUCUGUAUUCAGCCUUGUUCUCCCUCCUUCCAUGGAGAGAUGAGUUUUGUCUGCAAAGAUAGAAAGUGGCAAAUGGUCAUAGAUGCCUGUGCAAAUCUGGAUGUCAAAUCACUUUUUCAGAGGAUUUCUGAACGUGAACCUCUUCCAAGUUCUGGAGGACAUAUUAGUGUUGCUGGAGGACACCUGCCCUUUGUAGGAGCAGGAAAGCCAGUGCCCGGGAAGCCAGGAGAUGAAGCAAAACAUUUUGGUGCUCAUGACCAUGGGAAUAGUAACUGCCAAGAUGAUUUUUCAUGCAUCAUCCCAGAUAUCCUGUCUUCACCAGCAAUUCCAGGAAACAUUGCUGAUAUAGUGGAAUUGCUAAAGAAUAUUUCCUUGCUGUUGUCAGAAAAUGUCAACAGAGGAAAAAUGCAGAGUUACAGCAGGAUAGCAAACCAUAUUCUGAACAGCUCCAUCGUUUCCAACUGGGCUUUUGUCAGGGACAGAAAUGCCAGUUCAACAUUACUGGACUCAGUGAACUUAUUUGCUGGGAAACUCCUUCUAAAGAACGGGUCAGAAAGUAUACAGGAACACUUCAUCUCUACUAAAGGCUACAGCAUAUAUAAACAUACUUCGGGGAAGAGCUUUGAUUUCUCUAUGGAGUUGAAUAAGACAAGCAAUGUAAGUGGGCGCGUGGUCAUUCCAGAAGAAGAACUUAGGAAGUUACCUAGGACUUCCAAAGCAAUCAGCAUUGCAUUUCCCACACUUGGAGCCAUUAUAGAAACCAGCCGCUUGGACCCUGUUUUUGUGAACGGAAUGGUUUUAUCUGUGUCUCUUCCGGAAGAGCUUCAGCAUAUUUUGCUUACCUUUGAAAAGGUGAAUAAACUGGAGAAUGUCAAGGCUCAGUGCGUUGGAUGGCACUCUACUGAGCGGAGAUGGGAUAGCAAGGCAUGCAAAAUGAAGUCAGACAACAUCAGCAGUGUUGUCUGUAUGUGCAAGCACCACCGUCGGACGUUCAAAUCCUUCUCCAUUUUGAUGUCCCCCACCAUGCUGCGAAAUGUGGUGUUGGAUUACAUUACAUGUGUGGGGUUAGGCCUUUCUAUUUUCAGCUUGGUUCUGUGCCUUACCAUCGAGACUGUUGUCUGGCAUCACGUUACAAAAACUGAAAUAACCUACAUGCGCCAUUUUUGUUUGGUGAACAUAGCUACGUCGCUUCUCAUUGCGGAUAUUUUAUUCAUCGUAGCAGCUAUUGUGCACAACACAGCCCUAAACUACCGGCUGUGUGUAGCAGCUACUUUUUUCCUUCACUUUUUCUAUCUUGCCUUGUUUUUUUGGAUGUUUACCCUGGGUCUUCUGAUUCUCUAUGGAUUGUUAUUAGUUUUUUUUAAGAUAACAAGAUCUGCGUUCAUAGCUACAGCAUUCUCCAUUGGAUACGGAUGUCCAUUAGUCAUAUCUGUCCUCACUGUUGCUAUUACUGAACCAAAAAAUGGAUAUUUAAGGAGUGGAGCUUGCUGGCUCAAUUGGUAUGAGACAAAAGCCCUUUUGGCCUUUGUCGUACCUGCUCUGGGCAUCAUUGUUGUCAAUUUGGCGGUGGUGGUGGUGGUUGUGGUGAAGAUGGGAAGACCCUCUAUUGGAGAUGGCUGCAAGUCACAAGAUUUGAGCAACAUGAUCCGAAUUAGCAAAAAUGUUGCCCUUUUGACACCUCUUCUGGGCCUCACCUGGGGGUUUGGAUUAGCAACAAUCAUUGAUAGUCGCUCUCUGGCAUUCCAUGUUACAUUUGCACUACUGAACGCCUUCCAGGUAAACCCAGCAAGUUGGGGCAUAGUGCCCUCUCAAACUUCGACCUUGGGAAAAGCUAGCAGAUCAAAGAGAGGCUGGCAGCAUGUGCUGUGCUUGAAAAGCAGGCUUUCCUUGCAUCUUACCUAUUUAACGCAGUAGCUGCACUAGGUAUUCUGUGUUGACAUGGAUGCAGAUGGGCAAUAGAACAAACCAGUUGAUACGAAGUCUAAUGAAGAAUUAAGAGGAAGGAUUUAUAUUAAAAUACAUGGGUUAAUGUCAAGUAACUGCAAAAAUGUCUAAUCCAUAUGACCCAACAAAUACCCAGAAAAUCUUACUUGUCAUUAAGGAUAGUUUCGUUUAACUCACCAGUGUCAAAGUCCAAUGUUACCUGACAUACCAUUGUAUAUCCAUACUGCCUUAGUUCUUCUUGGCUAAUGCUGCUAUUAAGUAUGUUGAAAAAGUUCUGGUAUGUAACCUAUCAGUCCAGUUUGUAAUGAGAAUUAGCAUGAAUUGUAUAUCCAUUCUUGGCAUUCCUGGAUAGUCCAUGUGACCUGGGUGGGUAAACUCAUUUGGGGCAUCGAUGUUAUUGUCAUAGGUGAUGAGAUGUUUUACACUGAUAAAAGCAUUAUUUUACCUAUGCUAGAAAAAGUAUUUAAGAAACUUCAUGUGGUUAUGGUGUUUUGCAACUGUUUUUUUAUCUUCAAUUUUUUUAGGGAUUCUUCAUCCUGUUGUUUGGGACACUUCUGGACAGAAAGACCAGAGAAGCCUUAAAGAAAAACUGCCUUUCAUCAAAGCGGAAGCGUAGUUUAGCAAAGUCCUAGCAGUGGGCAGUUGUCUUCAGUGGAUCUGACCAGUGAGAGGACAAGGAGCAACUCUUGCAGAGAAAUUCUGGUUUGAGAUGAGCCUUAGUGGUGACCAGUUCAGAGUGUGGACAGCACUGUCUUGGAGCAUGACCACAGGAAACAUCGUGAAAACCAGGAGAGAAAAGGUCCUGAACCUGCUGUCAGGAGCAAGAAACCAUCAGCAUUGCUGCAACCCUCAGAGGAAGCACAGUGACAUGUAAAAGUUGUUUCUCACCUUUGUGAAAACUGCUGUGAGGAUGAGUUUGUCCUCAUUUGCCAUUUCAGUGCGUCCUGUUUUUUUUUUUUUUUCUUUUUUUCUUUUUUUCCACAUCACUGCAAUAAGGAGCUGUACAGCAUGUGGGACUGUUCUAACAUUUGUACAUCACAUUAAAAAUGAAAUAACGUUGAGUGUUGUAUAGCUAUUUUUGUCUGUCCUUGACCACAAGUAAUUCUAUUAGGUGGGCACUGUAUUCAUCCGAUGUCUGUACUCUCAGGCUGAGGGAUAGUAUAACUGUUUCUGUGUUACAGCUGUGCUCUCCAUCUCAGUACCUCUAUGUCAGAGGAAAUGUAGAAAACACUUUUUUAGUCUUUCAGGACAGAAUUUUCAUUCUUUUUCCAGUCCUGCAACAAAGGGACAGAUGAAGAAGGAAAAUCCCUCUGCAAAUAGUUAGCUUCCUUCUUUAGAUGUGGGAAAGCAAGCUUUGAAUAUGAUUCAGAGUUGAAUCAGGUAGAUGGAGAUCUCCCAUAUCACGUGGUAUACUAACCAAGGAAACAGUUCUUCCAUAGAUGCUUGUAUAUCUGGUUUUAUUAGAAAGAAAUAAGUCCUUGGAAAGAAACCCUUAGUAAUGAAGACUAUGAUAGAAAUGUUGUUGUCUCUUGUACAGACAAGUUGAUGCUUUCAAAUGGAAAUAAAGCUGAAAUUUUGUCAUUGUUU